rnacentral:rRNA from 1 species
UACGUAGGGCGCGAGCGUUGUCCGGAAUCAUUGGGCGUAAAGAGCUCGUAGGCGGCCGGUUGCGUCUGCUGUGAAAUCCCGGGGCUUAACCCCGGGCGUGCAGUGGAUACGGGCUGGCUGGAGGCAGGCAGGGGAGAAUGGAAUUCCCGGUGUAGCGGUGAAAUGCGCAGAUAUCGGGAGGAACACCUGUGGCGAAAGCGGCUCACUGGACCACAACUGACGCUGAGGCGCGAAAGCUAGGGGAGCAAACAGGG